UCAAAAGAAGUACAGUGUAUCGUAAUUUGGCGUUUUAUUAACAUUCUUAAGCAAUAUUACUAAAAAAUAUAAAAUACUGAUCAGUGAAACGUAAGUUAUUCCAGAAAGUAAUCCAAUUAAAAUCACUCUAUGGAACCGAAAAUUUGAGAGAGUUUGGUAUCCCGCCAGCAAUGAAAUCUGUCACACUCACUUGCUGUCUCUUCCUGUGCUGUAACUUCGUAUGCUUAUUUUUUUGUGUGGUGUGUUGCGCGGAAUGAAAACCCAUCAUGCGAUGAUGUUUGGUAGAACGGUAGAACAUUAUUCAAGGUUCUUGAGUAGCAAAAAGAAAAAAAUGUCUUGUAAAUAGGCCAGAGCCGCCAGACUAACCUACUACUGGAACCAUGCAUAGUCUAAGUGGCCUGAUUUCCAGCCGUUAUGCGAGCAGGACACAAAUUCAAGAUUCGUUCAACAGUCGAAUAACAAGCUAGGUCUAAUUACACCUUGGUGUCUGUAAUGGAAAUGGACAUAUAUUAAAAUUCAUCGUGAGUCGUCGUCCUUCAAGGAUGUUAUCAAGUUGUGACCAGCGGCUAAAAAGGUGGCGAAUGGAACAGCCAGUGGCAGUGGUGGGAAAAUUGCUUCUCUCACUCUUAACUACGGCAAGAUGUCAACUUUAUUGGAUCACACCUACUCUGCUACUAAGCUACAUUUUACUUCAUUACACUGGUUAUUCAGCAACGGGACCAACGGCUUUAUGUGACUUCCGUUACCACGUCGAUAGUGAACUUCUAUCACCAGAAAUACACACCUCUAACCCCUCAAUGGAAUGGCCAAGAAUGGAACUCUCGGCCACCGAGGUGGUAAGCCAACACCAUAUCGACCAUGCCACUGAAGCGCUUGAUAGGACAUUAUUGAAUUAUUUUACACUUUGCACUCUAAGGGCACAGGCUGC